rfam:Ciona savignyi cont_45593, whole genome shotgun sequence.
GACAGGUCCGGGAAACCCGUUGAACCCCGGUCGUGCUAGGGAUAGGGAAUUGCAAUUAUUUCCCUUGAACGAGGAAUUCCCAGUAAGCGCGAGUCAUUAGCUCGCGUUGAUUACGUCCCUGCCCUUUGUACACACCGCCCGUCGCUACUACCGAUUGAAUGGUUUAGUGAGGUCCUCCGAUUGGACCCGGUCCGGGCGGCGACGUCCGAGCCGGCGUCCGAGAAGACGAUCUAACUUGAUCAUUUAGAGGAAGUAAAAGUCGUAACAAGGUUUCCGUAGGUGAACCUGCGGAAGGAUCAUUA